ensembl:misc_RNA Metazoa_SRP Metazoan signal recognition particle RNA
GCUGGGCAUGGUGGCACAUGCCUGUAAUCCCAGCUACUUGGGAGGCUGAGGCAGGAGAAUUGCUUGAACCCAGGAGAUGGAGGUUGCAGUGAGUGGAAAUCAUACCACUGCACUUCAGCCUGGGAAACAAAGCAAGACUCUGUCUCAA